rnacentral:rRNA from 1 species
UACGAAGGUCCCGAGCGUUGCUCGGAAUCACUGGGCGUAAAGGGUGCGUAGGCGGGUCUUUUAAGUCAGGGGUGAAAUCCUGGAGCUCAACUCCAGAACUGCCUUUGAUACUGAAGAUCUUGAGUUCGGGAGAGGUGAGUGGAACUGCGAGUGUAGAGGUGAAAUUCGUAGAUAUUCGCAAGAACACCAGUGGCGAAGGCGGCUCACUGGCCCGAUACUGACGCUGAGGUGCGAAAGCGUGGGGAGCAAACAG